ACGGGUGAGUAACGCGUGAGAAACCUGCCUUUCAGUGGGGGACAACAGUUGGAAACGACUGCUAAUACCGCAUAAUGUUAUUUGGGGGCAUCCCUGGAUAACCAAAGAUUUAUUGCUGAAAGAUGGUCUCGCGUCUGAUUAGCUAGAUGGCGGGGUAACGGCCCACCAUGGCGACGAUCAGUAGCCGGUCUGAGAGGAUGAACGGCCACAUUGGGACUGAGAUACGGCCCAGACUCCUACGGGAGGCAGCAGUGGGGAAUAUUGGGCAAUGGGGGAAACCCUGACCCAGCAACGCCGCGUGAAGGAAGAAGGCCUUCGGGUUGUAAACUUCUUUUACCAGGGACGAAGAAAAUGACGGUACCUGGAGAAAAAGCAACGGCUAACUACGUGCCAGCAGCCGCGGUAAUACGUAGGUUGCAAGCGUUGUCCGGAUUUACUGGGUGUAAAGGGCGUGUAGGCGGAGAUGCAAGUUGGGAGUGAAAUCCCGGGGCUCAACCCCGGAACUGCUUUCAAAACUGUAUCCCUUGAGUGUCGGAGAGGCAAGCGGAAUUCCUAGUGUAGCGGUGAAAUGCGUAGAUAUUAGGAGGAACACCAGUGGCGAAGGCGGCUUGCUGGACGAUAACUGACGCUGAGGCGCGAAAGCGUGGGGAGCAAACAGGAUUAGAUACCCCUGGUAGUCCACGCUGUAAACGAUGAAUACUAGGUGUGGGAGGACUGACCCCUUCAGUGCGGCAGUUCACACAACAAGUAUUCCUCCUCGGGAGAAGGUCCGCACUGUUGAAACUGCAGAAGGAAUGGGAGGGGACCCCCACAACCCGCAGAUAACAUGGAUGAACUUGACGCAACCAGAAGAACCAGGCCACGAUAUGGCAUCCUCCAGAUGAGGAACAAACACAGUAGGGACCUUGGAUCCAAAAGUGACACAGGCCAGGCAGGGU
rnacentral:rRNA from 1 species